UGGAAAAAACUUAGUAUUAAAAGGGAGAUAAGGUCAGGACACAGGAAAGAAAUUUUAAGACAGCUUGAUUUCAGCCUAAAGUGUAGAAUAAACUUUUACUGAAGAACACGAACCAAGCCCACCACAUGCAUGCAUACCUUCUUAUAGAGGAAUUUAAAAUCCCUCCCAUUCUAUUUAUGGGCACCAGUUUGAAGAGAGCUAGCACGGAGAAUGAUUCUCACACAAACAGUUUCAAGGAUGGAAGCUCAUCCUUCCACGAUUCCAAAUGCAGCAACAUUUGGACCAAAAAGAAUAUCUUGGAUCUUCAACCGAUGAUGCCUGAUGCCUGAGGCGACAGAGCAUUCAAGACACAAAAAGUACUUGAGUAAGAACGAAGAUACCCAAUCUAAGAGGGCAAAUUACUUGAAGACAAUUUGUUGAAAAGAGAAUUGUUACCAGCAUCCCUGGGUCUGGAGCUCUUUGGAAAUUCUCCUCCUUAUCAGUAUGACUUUCUCCCUUGUCUGGUAAGAAUAUAGUGGAGCAAGACAAUGU
rnacentral:lncRNA from 1 species